rfam:Myotis brandtii contig293396, whole genome shotgun sequence.
GGCAGUUCUCGGGUGAAGCACCCCGGAAUUGGGCUCCCUCCUCUUUGGUUUCAGGGGCGUCACCUGAGAACUGCA